rnacentral:rRNA from 1 species
CAGCCGCCGCGGGAAUACGUAGGGUGCAAGCGUUAAUCGGAAUUACUGGGCGUAAAGCGUGCGCAGGCGGUUUGUUAAGACAGAUGUGAAAUCCCCGGGCUCAACCUGGGAACUGCAUUUGUGACUGGCAGGCUAGAGUAUGGCAGAGGGGGGUGGAAUUCCGCGUGUAGCAGUGAAAUGCGUAGAUAUGCGGAGGAACACCGAUGGCGAAGGCAGCCCCCUGGGCCAAUACUGACGCUCAUGCACGAAAGCGUGGGGAGCAAACAGGAUUAGAUACCCGCGUAGUCCCUGUCUCUUAUAC